UUGGUCAAUGGACGGAAGUCUGAACCAGCCAUGCCGCGUGAAGGAUGAAGGCGUUCUGCGUUGUAAACUUCUUUUAUCUGGGAAGAAACCACAGAUUUCUAUUUGUGUUGACGGUACCAGAUGAAUAAGCACCGGCUAACUCCGUGCCAGCAGCCGCGGUAAUACGGAGGGUGCGAGCGUUAUCCGGAUUUACUGGGUUUAAAGGGUGCGUAGGCGGGCUAUUAAGUCAGAGGUGAAAUCUCCGGGCUCAACCUGGAAACUGCCUUUGAUACUAUUAGCCUUGAAUGAUGUUGAAGUUGGCGGAAUAUAACAUGUAGCGGUGAAAUGCUUAGAUAUGUUAUGGAACACCGAUUGCGAAGGCAGCUGGCUAGACAUAUAUUGACGCUGAUGCACGAAAGCGUGGGUAGCGAACA
rnacentral:rRNA from 1 species